AUUGAACGCUGGCGGCAUGCUUUACACAUGCAAGUCGAACGGCAGCGCGGGCUUCGGCCUGGCGGCGAGUGGCGAACGGGUGAGUAAUAUAUCGGAACGUACCCAAGAGUGGGGGAUAACGUAGCGAAAGUUACGCUAAUACCGCAUACGAUCUAAGGAUGAAAGCAGGGGAUCGCAAGAUCUUGUGCUCCUGGAGCGGCCGAUAUCUGAUUAGCUAGUUGGUGAGGUAAAGGCUCACCAAGGCAACGAUCAGUAGCUGGUCUGAGAGGACGACCAGCCACACUGGAACUGAGACACGGUCCAGACUCCUACGGGAGGCAGCAGUGGGGAAUUUUGGACAAUGGGGGCAACCCUGAUCCAGCAAUGCCGCGUGAGUGAAGAAGGCCUUCGGGUUGUAAAGCUCUUUUGUUUGGGAGCAAAUCCUGCCGGAUAAUACCUGGCGGGGAUGAGAGUACCAAAAGAAUAAGCACCGGCUAACUACGUGCCAGCAGCCGCCGUAAGAC
rnacentral:rRNA from 1 species